UCCCCUCCAUGAUGUCGCCCCCCUAUUCUUGCCCCACCAUCUCUCCUCCACGCCACGGCGAAGCCCGUCCACUCCUCUACCCGCUGCCUCCCAUUCCCUCCAAGGUGUUGACCGUCCACCCUCUCCCCACCAUGGCAUCGCCCGCGUCCUUCUCUCGCUGACAACCACUAGUGUCACUGCGGUGGGACCGAGCCCGUGUGCCUGCCGUUCUUGCAUUCUGGGCAGUCGGAUCUGGCUGGGAGGUGCAGAAGGGCUCGACACUCUCCGUACAUGCCGACCACAUAGCUGGCCCGUCCGCAUGUGGGUGGGACGACCUCGGGCACAGUAGUGUGGCACGACGAGGAGGGAAGACACCCUCGUCGUCGGCCCCGGACCUCUACCCAGCCAAGCCACGUCAAGCAUAGUCGCGCUACCGCGCCGGCGAUCCACAUGACGAGGCAGGCCGAUUCCUGGUGCCAAGGAGUGCACACCAUCGUGCCCUGCUUCUCACUAUAUAGAGCCGCCACCUUCUCAGAGUACGGCGGCUACCAGAGGAUUGACGCCACUGAUUUGCAGCUCCUGUGCGUACAGUCACGCAAAGCAUAGGGAUGGGCGAUUGCCCCUGGUGUCUCUCCACCCAGAUGUCACAUGCAGUUUUUGUGGACUGGUGCCUGCCGGUCUGAAAAGGCGAGGUGCACUGGUUGCUGGAGGCUUGGAGCGGGGCGCGUUGGAGGACAGGGAGGAAUUGAGGCAGGGGCUGGUCCACGGUGCACUUACGCAACUAAUCGCUUGUUGUUGUCGGGUUUAUAGUCUGGUCCACUUUAGACCGAGGCAGGGGCUGGGGCUGGUCCACUUUAGACCGAGGGUUUUGUGGCAGGCCGCGGUCAUUUUGAUCUUUUUUUUUGAGGGAGGUCAUUUUGAUCUUUGCGAUGGGCAGCGGCCAGGAAUGGGGCAAUGCAGACAGAAAUUUGUUUGGGCUUUUUUCCUUCUUAUGGGAGGAGGGAGGUGGGCUGCUACAGCUUAUGGGCCGAAUUAUUGAAUACUUUUCAAUCUUAUCCCAAUUUUGAUAACCCAUAAUGAUGUGCAUCAUCUUAUUUUUUGCGCAAUGAUGCACAGGUAAAAUAAAAUGUUUAGAGUCACCAAUAGUAUCAGUGCGAGUCAUAAAAUAUAUGAUUUUUAUGCAUUAGGUGUAGGUAUUGGAUUUAUUUUUGAACAACGGGAUGUUUUCCUUAAAUGUUCAUUUUCCUUGCUGAAAUAGAAAAUACACACGUUCUAUUUGUCCAGUCAAACAUUUUUUACUACCUUGCAUGAUGCCAGGUAUCAAUGGACUCAAUCUUUCUUAAACGGAAGCAAAUUGAUCAUUAUCCAAAAGAAGAAGAAAAUUUAAAUCUGGUCUAACCUAAAUGACCUUGCAAUUAUUCUAUAAAUUCAAGACAUUUGAGAAUCUUCCUAGCUGGAAAUGACAAGAAACACACAGUGCACUGUAAAAUCAGAUAUGAAAUUUUCUAAAAGACAUGCACUCACAAUGUAAGAACAUAAUCAAUUCCAAGUGUAAAACAAUGCACAUCAUUAAGGUAUUUCUACUGUAGAACAUUCUAUUCUGUGAGGAGAUGGUUUAAAAACACAAUAAGGUAACACAACCACAAAAUUUGUUUUCGCAACCAACGUUCAGGGUAGAAUGAGAUAGUUAUAUACUCCUUCCUCCUUUGUCCCUUCAACUCAUCCUAGGCGGUGUUGCAUAUUGUUUGAAGCAUGCCGUCCCUAGUUCACAUGCCAAUUAAAUAAAAUAAGUAUCAAAGUGACUGGGCAUUUAUGCAAGAGUUUGAGGAAGGAAAAAGUGCCAUGUAAAACUAGGUACAGAUGAAAGAAUGGUACUUUUCUUGUAUCUUGUAAUAGUGCAUACAGAUGAAACAAUGGUACUAUCGUUAUAUCUUGUAAUGGAAAAUAGAACACUAUUUCUCCUUUUAUGACAUACUAGCAAACAUGCACUUGUGUUCAACGGGAGAAAAGAAUCAUAUGCCACUACCCUAAUAGGCAUGCCUCAAGGACCCACUCCCCCAGUCCCUGCCCUCUAUGUCAAUAGUGUCCCAUCCAUGUGGCUGCUUAUCCUCCUUUCCGCCCUUGCUGAAGAUGGUUGAAUUGUCCACCUGAUCACUAGUGUCUUGUUGUGUAUGGACCGUGACAGUGCAAAGGAAUAUCUAAACCAAACUAUCAAUCUGGCCUUGAGGGCCGCCCUCUGUGAAUCCCUCUCCACACAUGUUCCAUACACCGUCCCCUGCACCUGGUCCAUACACCGCCCCUCAUACUUCCGCUCGCUUCUAAUUGUGGACUUGUUUCAUGAGAGGGCGGGUUGCUCAUGUCCCUGCAUGCCACCUUCCCACCGACGACCCUGCUGCUUCACCAAGUCCUCAUGGGAACGAGUAGAUGCUCUAUGUCUUCAAACCUUUUUGGUCUUUACUGACAAAAGAGGGAGAAGCAUAUGAGUUUGAUAGUCUU